AAAAACAUCGCUCUCUGAAUUGUAAUUUUAUAACAGAAAUAUAUAGGGAGUCGGGCCUGCCCAGUGACAUUUAAUGUUAAACGGCCGCGGUACCCUGACCGUGCAAAGGUAGCAUAAUCAUUUGCCCUUUAAUUGAGGGCUGGUAUGAAUGGCUUGACGAGAGCUGGACUGUCUCUUUUCAAAUUUAUAAAAAUUAGCUUUUAAGUGAAGAGACUUAAAUUUAACUGAGUGACGAAAAGACCCUAUUGAGCUUUAGUGAACUGAUAAAAAUAUUAAUUUUUAUGCAUUUAGGUGCAUUUGUGCUUUAUUAGAAAUCUUUAGUUGGGGCGACUUAGGAGCAAAGAAAGCUUCCUCUAUACUUAUAUAAAAAUUAAAGUAAUCAAACUAAAUUAUUAGAUCCAGUACAUGCUGAUCAGAGGAAGAAGUUACCAUAGGGAUAACAGCGUGAUCUUUCUGGAGAGUUCUUAUUGAAGGGAAGGUUUACGACCUCGAUGUUGGACUAAGAUAUCCUGGAGGUGCAGAAGCUUCUAAUGGUUAGUCUGUUCGACUAUUAAAAUCUUACGUGAUC
rnacentral:rRNA from 1 species